rnacentral:lncRNA from 1 species
UAUCGCACAAUCGCAUGGCGCAACGUAGGACGAGACACACAGGAGAUUCUAUGGAGUAAAAUUGAACAAUAUACUUACAUAAAAGAAUUAUGAUGUCGAGACAAACUACUUUUAUCCUAUCAAAUACUGUAUUAUGAUUCCAAGACAAAAUCUACGAUGUGCCAAACACUGAAUAUACAAGAAUGAAGAUCUACGUGGAUAAAAAUAAAAAUUUGGUAAAAACAUGAUGUAAGUAUGUAUGCACAUGGAUAUAUAUGGGAGUAUUAAAUAUAUAAUAUACCACAUCAAAAAUUAAUGAGACUAAUUCUGGUAAAAAAUUUUAAUGUGUAUGUAAUCAUACCAAAUGUUCCAAAAAAUUAUUUUUUUUAUUUAAUGAAGACAAGUCAAAAGUUGUAGAGGCAAUUUGCAUAUCUUUCAGUUAAUAGAUCAGAUUUUGUAUUUUAAGUGUAAGAACAAUGGAGUAAGAAUUAGGCUGCAAAUUUAUUAUUUUAAAGGAUUACAAAAUUAAAAGAUUAAAUAAAUAGUUCAUUAAAAAUUAAUUUUGUCUCAUUAAUUUUCAAUACAUGCAUAUAAAAUAUUUAAUUAUAUAAAAUUGCUGUAAUCAAUAGAUUGUACAUAUAGUGUUUCCAUAAUAAAUGUUAAAAUAUAAUACAUAAAUUUUUCUUUUCCUACACAAACCUUCUAUAAGAAAAUAGAUUAAUGAAACUUUUAUUGCACGAAGAAAAAAAGAUUUAAAGGUCGAUGCCGGUGAAGAUAUUGCAGGAUUAAAAACUGGUUCAAUUGUAUUUGAAUUGUUUUCAAACUAUAGAAGCAGGUGAAAAUACACAAUCGGGUAGUAUUUUUUCGUUACACUAGAUUUUUCUGUAAAGCUAAUAAUCUGUAAUCCGUUUGAUCAUAUCUGAGUUUUAAUUUGAAAUAAAUUGGAAAUUGCCCUUGAAAAGGGUAAAAAGCAUUUUAAUCCAGUAAACAAAAUAAAUGUUUAACGCGUAUCAAAAAUUUAUAAUUCAAUGGCAGCAAUAAAAUGCACAUGUAAAGGAUACGGCACAUUUAUUAUCUCUAAUGGUUCUUUCAUUUUGUUUUCUUUUUUUUUUUGCUCUUAAGCAAUGUUUCAUAAAUUGACAAUGUUCAUUAUGCAUGUUAGCAUUACAAAGCUAAUAGAUUAAGAUGAAUCAGUAAAAUACGAAAUUCUAAGGGAUGUGUCCAGUUAAAUACAAAUUUCGGUACGUAUUUCUGCGGUAAAUAAUUUAAAUAUCAUUGUAUGCAUCGGAAAACGCGUAAGUAGACGUAUUUGUUAUGAUAAUGCGUAUGCAUAAUUUCAAAAAUCAUUUAUGCCAAGAAAGCAACUAAAACUCACGAUGCAUCACGAACUUGCAACGAUUUUUGUUAAAAAAAUUAUGCUCUUUAUUUGGGAUUUUUAUCGUUAUUUUUUCAUGGUAUAACCAUGCAUGUUGUUCACAAUACAUUGCGCGAAAUUCCGAUUAUGUGUCAGUAAUUGGUUUCGAUUUGACAAUGAUGAGAUUACGCGGGAACACGAGUUCCCAAAAAUAAUACAAUUCACGUGAUAGAGUUUGCAUGUGUCAAGUACAUAAAACUAUAUUAAUAAUAUACUUUAAAAAUAUCAUAUAUAUCUACCCAUAUUUACCUACAACAUAACUUCCUUCACGUAUAUACAUACAUACACAAAUGUUGCGAAUUUUUUUGCCGCCAUACAUGUGUAUAUGUAUUCCACAAGUAUACAUAAAUCUUCAAGGCACUCCUGAUGUAUAUUACAUUCAUAUUUUACAAGUUGUAUUCUCCAGCGUUUAACGGAUCAUUCUGACGAGACGUAAAACAUGAUCAUUUUACUCAUUUUAAAAGCGAUAUAAUAUCGCUCUGUACGCACAUUUAUACAGCAAACAGAAAAGCGAUGCAGGCAUUAUGAAAAUGAGAGAUGCGUCUUACUGUUUCUUCUCUUGCAUUGCAUUGACUCGAACAUUGUUAUUACGUACCUAUCUUUACAGUUUUCUACGUACAAUGCCAAGAUUUUUUUUGUAGAAGAGUAUAUUCAAUUUUAAAGCGAGUUUAUAUUAGAAGCAGAUCAUUUUUAGCAUUGCAUUGCAUACUUUCCAAUUAUUUUUUUUUUUUUGUGAAACCAAUGGUUUCAUUAUUUUUAUAACAAAUCGUGUAUUAAGAUCUGUUUAUAAUGGACAAAGGCGUAUUAGGUGCCUUGCUUUGCCGCAUUUUCCACUAACAUUUACUCGAAAAAAAAACAUACAAGAUAAUUUGUGUUACGUUCACAAAUAUAUUGACAAUCUUUACCAAUUUUUUUCAUUUAUCAUAUCUAUGAAAUGUAUCACCCAAAACGACAGAAAAAAAUUAGGUCGUUUUCGAAAACAAUUGACUACAUUGUUUUAUUUUCUCAAAAAUUGAUAUGAAAAAAUUAUUUUCUGUGAUAUUUGUACUGUUAAAUAUCUGCUAUGAGUUUUGCUAUUUUGUCAUUCAUCACUUCACAUUUAUCACAUUUUCACAUUAAAGUAAGAAAA